rnacentral:miRNA from 1 species
UAAAAAGAAGGCAUUGAAUAUC